GAAAGGGAAUGGGGUCAAUAUUCCCCAACCCGGACACGGAGAUAGGUCCCUCGGGACCAAGUGCGGCGACGCAACCGAACUCGGAGACGUCGACGGAGGACCCGGGGAAGAGUUGUCUUUUCUUUGUAAGAGUUCGUGUCCCUGGAAUCGGCUCGUCCGGAGAUAGGGACGCUGUCCUCGUAAAAGCACCGCGGCUCUUGCGGUGUCCGGUGCGCCUCUGUCGGCCCUUGCAAAUCCGAGGGAGAGAGUGUGAUUUUCGUGCCGGUCCGUACCCAUAUCCGCAGCAGGUCUCCAAGGU
rnacentral:rRNA from 1 species